CCAUGUGGUUUAAUUCGAAGCAACGCGCAGAACCUUACCAGCCCUUGACAUCCCGAUCAGGAUUAUCAGAGAUGAUGAUUGUCGGUUCGGCCGGAUCGGUGACAGGUGCUGCAUGGCUGUCGUCAGCUCGUGUCGUGAGAUGUUGGGUUAAGUCCCGCAACGAGCGCAACCCUCGCCCUUUGUUGCCAUCAUUAAGUUGGGCACUCUAAGGGGACUGCCGGUGAUAAGCCGAGAGGAAGGUGGGGAUGACGUCAAGUCCUCAUGGCCCUUACGGGCUGGGCUACACACGUGCUACAAUGGUGGUGACAGUGGGCAGCGAGACCGCGAGGUCGAGCUAAUCUCCAAAAGCCAUCUCAGUUCGGAUUGCACUCUGCAACUCGAGUGCAUGAAGUUGGAAUCGCUAGUAAUCGUGGAUCAGCAUGCCACGGUGAAUACGUUCCCGGGCCUUGUACACACCGCCCGUCACAC
rnacentral:rRNA from 2 species